UGAAUACGAGAUGCUACGGCAUUGAAGCAGUCUAUGUCAUACUUCCAAGAAAAGCUCGCAAAGUCAUAAACAAAUAAUGCCUGUACCAUAACCGACACAGGUGGGUAGGUAGAGUAUACUAAGGGGCGCGAGAUAACUCUCUCUAAGGAACUCGGCAAAAUGACUCCGUAACUUCGGGAGAAGGAGUGCCUUAUGUAUAAGGUUGCAAUAACAAGAUCCAAGCAACUGUUUACCAAAAACACAGGUCUCCGCUAAGUCGUAAGACGAUGUAUGGGGGCUGACGCCUGCCCAGUGCCAGAAGGUUAAAGAAGUUGGUUAGCUUAGCGAAGCUGAUGACUGAAGCCCUGGUGAACGGCGGCCGUAACAAUAACGGUCCUAAGGUAGCAAAUUCCUUGUCGGGUAAGUCCCGACCCGCACGAAAGGCGUAAUGAUAUGGAUACUGUCUCGGAGAGGGGCUCGGUGAAAUAGACUUGUCUGUGAAGAUGCGGACUACCUGCACCAGGACAGAAAGACCCUAUGAAGCUUUACUGUAACUUGAGAUUGAAAUUGGACUUUAUUUGCGCAGUAUAGGUGGGAGACGUUGAGAAUAUUCUUGCGGGAAUAUUGGAGUCAUCAGUGAGAUACCACUCUUGUAAUGUUAGAUUUCUAACUUUGGAUCAUUAUCUGGUCAAAGGACAGUUUCAGGCGGGUAGUUUGACUGGGGCGGUCGCCUCCCAAACGGUAACGGAGGCGCACAAAGGUUUCCUCUGAACGUGUAGAAAUCGUAUCUAGAGUGUAAAGGCAUAAGGAAGUUUGACUGUGAGACCUACAAGUCGAGCAGGGACGAAAGUCGGUCUUAGUGAUCUGACGGUGCUGAGUGGAAAGGCCGUCACUCAACGGAUAAAAGUUACUCUAAGGAUAACAGGCUGAUCUCCCCCAAGAGUUCACAUCGACGGGGAGGUUUGGCACCUCGAUGUCGGCUCAUCGCAUCCUGGGGCGGUAGUACGUCCCAAGGGUUGGGCUGUUCGCCCAUGAAAGCGGUACGCGAGCUGGGUUCAGAACGUCGUGAGACAGUUCGGUCCAUAUCCGGUGUAGGCGUUAGAAUAUUGAGAGGAGCCUUCUUUAGUACGAGAGGACCGAGAAGGACAUACCUCUGGUGUACCAGUUAUCGUGCCAACGGUAAACGCUGGGUAGCUAUGUAUGGAGAGGAUAACCGCUGAAAGCAUCUAAGUGGGAAGCCCACCUCAAGAUAAGUAUUCUC
rnacentral:rRNA from 1 species